rnacentral:rRNA from 1 species
UACGGGGGGAGCAAGCGUUGUUCGGAUUUACUGGGCGUAAAGGGCGCGUAGGCGGUCAGCACAAGUCAGUUGUGAAAUCUCCGGGCUUAACUCGGAAAGGUCAACUGAUACUGUGCGACUAGAGUGCGGUAGGGGAGACUGGAAUUCCUGGUGUAGCGGUGAAAUGCGCAGAUAUCAGGAGGAACACCGGUGGCGAAGGCGGGUCUCUGGGCCGUAACUGACGCUGAGGAGCGAAAGCAUGGGGAGCGAACAGG